CCGUGCCCAAGAGAUCGGGAUAACACCUGGAAACAGAUGCUAAUACCGGAUAACAACAGAUGAUGCCUAUCAACUGUUUAAAAGAUGGUUCUGCUAUCACUCUUGGAUGGACCUGCGGUGCAUUAGCUAGUUGGUAGGGUAACGGCCUACCAAGGCGAUGAUGCAUAGCCGAGUUUAGAGACUGAUCGGCCACAUUGGGACUGAGACACGGCCCAAACUCCUACGGGAGGCAGCAGAU
rnacentral:rRNA from 1 species